rnacentral:rRNA from 1 species
GGUAGAUAGGCUGGGGGUGGAAGUGCAGCAAUGCAUGGAGCUGACCAGUACUAAUCGGUCGAGGGCUUAUCCUA